rnacentral:rRNA from 1 species
UACGUAGGGUGCAAGCGUUAUCCGGAUUUACUGGGUUUAAAGGGUGUGUAGGCGGACUUUUAAGUCAGCGGUGAAAUCUCCGGGCUCAACCCGGAAACUGCCAUUGAUACUAUUGGUCUUGAAUGUUGUUGAGGUGGGCGGAACGGGUCAUGUAGCGGUGAAAUGCAUAGAUAUGACCCGGAACACCGAUUGCGAAGGCAGCCCACUAAGCAACGAUUGACGCUGAGGCACGAAAGCGUGGGGAUCAAACAGG